AUGCAUACGAUGAAGGAGCCUAGUAGCAAGCUUGUCACUGUUAUUUAGAAAGCUAGGGGUGAUGUGACCUAGUACAAACAAUCUUGUGAAUUACACUUUGGAGUAUCUUAGCUUAACUCUAAGCGGAUUAGCAAACGAUAUCAUUGCUGAGAGAGGUAUCAAUAGUUACGUGUAUUACUAUUGAUGCAAUUUGGGUGGUAACACGGUUAGAAUCGUCCCUAUG
rnacentral:ncRNA from 1 species